AGCCCAGCUGUAACUCGGCGCAGGCCCAGCCGUGACCGCUCCUCACACGCAGUACGAGCCGCCGAAGCUAAACGCCCUGGGGCAGCGCUCGAGCAGUGCGUGCACAGAGCCCCACACGGGCGCACUCUCCACGAGCAGCCCCGUGUAACUUCCAACCCAGGCCCCGCGGCUCGGCGUGCGCGGAACGAAACCUCCGCGGCGGCCCCGAGCGGCACCCGUGUGCUCGGACACCGGAACUCCGCCGCCGUGAGGGCACGACGGCUCUGGGCACGACCCAGCUCUCCCACAGCGCUCUGAGUGGCCUUUUUUUUUUUUUUUUUUUUUUGGCUACUUCUACAAAACGAGAGGCCAGGAGGCUGCCUCCAUCCGUCCCGCUCCUUUAUAGAACCGCAGGGACGGCCCUCACGUACCCCGCACCCCCCCACUCACCGCUCCGCACUGCGCACGCUCCGCCGGGCCGCGGGCGGGAACACGGCUGAGGGCGGGAACACGGCUGAGGGGCGGCUGCGCUGUGGAGACUCCGCCUUCAGCCCUGUGUUUGUGGCCGGGCGCGAGCGUUUUGCUCGCGGAGCUGUUCCUUACCGGUGUUAAAGUCACAUAAGCAGCAGAAGUCAGGGAGGGACCUUCCUUGAUCGUCGCCUCCCUGCGGCGUGGUUGGGGGACGCAGCGCUGCUCGAGGGCCCGCGCGUCCCCACUGCUGACAGGAGAGUGAAAAGGGCCGAUAGAGCGCUGCGAGAGUUCUCCCAGGGCUGCUGGUCACAGCGGGUGGCUGCAGCCGCUGUCCCCCUGUGCUGGGUGGUCAGAGGAAGUGACAGUCGCGCCUCCGUGAUCUGCCGUGGGUCUGCCCUUUGCUGUGGGCACCCCCUGCACUCCUCUCCCGCGCUGAGGCAGAUAGCGAGGGAGAAUGAAGGGCGUUAAUCUCAGGCUUGGCACCUGGCAUCCCCCGGAGGAAGGCAGGAGGUCGCUGUGGGUGCGGUAUAAUGGAGGAGAGAGCAGCAAGCUGUGCCCGCCAGCAGCCGGCUUCACCCCUCACACCAUCAGCGGUGCUGAGAGCUCUGGCGGGCAUAGCACCAAGUGCUGCCACAGGUUGGAUAUAAACACCUCAGGUUCAGAAUCGAAGCCCACAAAGCCUAUUGGAAGUGCCUCACAGAUUUAUUGGGCUUCAGUGCCGUGAUUUUUCAGGAGCGGCAUCGGAUGCCAGCCCCAGGCAGCCUGCGAAGUCUCACUCAGAUGCUUGGUCCAGAGAGAAGUGUGCUGCAUCCGCGGGCAAUACCAGCCUAAUCCCCUCCUCUGAAAUCGCUCACACAUCAAAGAGAUUUAAAAAACAUGCUCUGCAUGCAUUAUCUUUUGCAUUUCAAGACUGAGUUCUUCAACAAUGCCUGUUUGAUCUGAUGGGAUAGAGGGUUCUUCCAAAAGAUGGGUGUGAGAGAAUAAUGUGGGGCUGGGAAUAAUUUUUUAUCAAUGUACUUAAAGGCAAUCACAGCGCUAGGAGGGAGGCCUAAUUGUGGAGUUGUGUAAUUAGUUUUUAUGUCACUGCAAUUAUUCUGUUGGCUACAUAUAAAGAACAUGGCAAAAUGCGACACUUAAUUUUAAAUCGGGACUUGAUUCUCUUUUAGUAGGUAAUUGAUGUUGAUCACAUCACUUAGCAGUGACUAUAAAAUGCACUAUUUAGAUUGUGAAAGAAUGGAGAAAAGGACAAAGCAGAUAGGUAGUUGAUGGAUCACGGGCUGCAUUGGUGGGAGGCAGCAUUAAUCCAUCAGACUUCAGCUGUAUCUGUUCACAGCCACUUCUGGACACUGUUAUUGGCCCAGAGCACUAACGAACACAGAGCCACUGCUCCCCGCAGCCCAAAGCAUCGCACACUGCAGUGAGCAGCCACUCUGCCCCCAGAUGCUGGUGUCAGCCCAUGAAUUUGCACUUAAUGCAAUUGAUUCCUUGUGUUUAAACACCUUCCUGCUAAAGGCAGGCUUUGUUUUCUGCUGCUCGGCUUCAAGCGCAUGCUCAGGAUUUUGCUCCAGGGAAUCAAAUAAAAGAGAAGCUGAAUUGGUAAAACUUUUCCUUGCCUUUG